GACGAACGCUGGCGGCGUGCUUAACACAUGCAAGUCGAACGGAAAGGCCCUGCUUUUGUGGGGGGCUCGAGUGGCGAACGGGUGAGUAACACGUGAGUAACCUGCCCUUGACUUUGGGAUAACUUCAGGAAACUGGGGCUAAUACCGGAUAGGAGCUCCUGCUGCAUGGUGGGGGUUGGAAAGUUUCGGCGGUUGGGGAUGGACUCGCGGCUUAUCAGCUUGUUGGUGGGGUAGUGGCUUGCCAAGGCUUUGACGGGUAGCCGGCCUGAGAGGGUGACCGGCCACAUUGGGACUGAGAUACGGCCCAGACUCCUACGGGAGGCAGCAGUGGGGAAUAUUGCACAAUGGGCGGAAGCCUGAUGCAGCAACGCCGCGUGCGGGAUGACGGCCUUCGGGUUGUAAACCGCUUUCGCCUGUGACGAAGCGUGAGUGACGGUAAUGGGUAAAGAAGCACCGGCUAACUACGUG
rnacentral:rRNA from 1 species